rnacentral:tRNA from 1 species
CGGGGCAUAGCGCAGUUUGGUAGCGCACAUGGUUUGGGACCAUGGGGUCGGGGGUUCGAGUCCCUCUGCCCCGACCA